UCCUGCCUCUGAUGAUGAUGAUGGUGGUGAUGAUGAUGAUGAUCAUGAUCAUGAUAUCUGCCCCUCCCUCAUCAUCAUCGUCGUCAUCAUCAUCAUCAUCAUCAUCA
rnacentral:pre_miRNA from 1 species